GGGCCGGAAAGUUCUCCAAACUCGAUCAUUUAGAGGAAGUAAAAGUCGUAACAAGGUCUCCGUUGGUGAACCAGCGGAGGGAUCAUUG
rnacentral:rRNA from 1 species